rnacentral:rRNA from 1 species
GAUGAACGCUGGCGGCGUGCCUAAUACAUGCAAGUCGAGCGAACAGAUAAGGAGCUUGCUCCUUUGACGUUAGCGGCGGACGGGUGAGUAACACGUGGGUAACCUACCUAUAAGACUGGGAUAACUUCGGGAAACCGGAGCUAAUACCGGAUAACAUUUGGAACCGCAUGGUUCUAAAGUGAAAGAUGGUUUUGCUAUCACUUAUAGAUGGACCCGCGCCGUAUUAGCUAGUUGGUCAGGUAACGGCUUACUAAGGCAACGAUACGUAGCCGACGUGAGAGGGUGAUCGGCCACAUGGGAACUGAGACACGGUCCAGACGCCUAAGGUAGGCAGCAGUAGCGAACCUGCGGCAAAGGUCGAAAGCCUGACGGAGCAACGCCGCGUGAGUUAUGAAGAGGUCGGGCUCGGAAAAAUCUGUUAUUAGGUAAGAACAAACGUGGAAUGAACUGAGCACGGCGUGACGGUACCUAGUAAGAAAGCAACGGCUAACUACGUG